UAAGACUGGGAUAACUUCGGGAAACCGGAGCUAAUACCGGAUAAUAUAUUGAACCGCAUGGUUCAAUAGUGAAAGACGGUUUUGCUGUCACUUAUAGAUGGAUCCGCGCCGCAUUAGCUAGUUGGUAAGGUAACGGCUUACCAAGGCAACGAUGCGUAGCCGACCUGAGAGGGUGAUCGGCCACACUGGAACUGAGACACGGUCCAGACUCCUACGGGAGGCAGCAGUAGGGAAUCUUCCGCAAUGGGCGAAAGCCUGACGGAGCAACGCCGCGUGAGUGAUGAAGGUCUUCGGAUCGUAAAACUCUGUUAUUAGGGAAGAACAAAUGUGUAAGUAACUAUGCACGUCUUGACGGUACCUAAUCAGAAAGCCACGGCUAACUACGUGCCAGCAGCCGCGGUAAUACGUAGGUGGCAAGCGUUAUCCGGAAUUAUUGGGCGUAAAGCGCGCGUAGGCGGUUUUUUAAGUCUGAUGUGAAAGCCCACGGCUCAACCGUGGAGGGUCAUUGGAAACUGGAAAACUUGAGUGCAGAAGAGGAAAGUGGAAUUCCAUGUGUAGCGGUGAAAUGCGCAGAGAUAUGGAGGAACACCAGUGGCGAAGGCGACUUUCUGGUCUGUAACUGACGCUGAUGUGCGAAAGCGUGGGGAUCAAACAGGAUUAGAUACCCUGGUAGUCCACGCCGUAAACGAUGAGUGCUAAGUGUUAGGGGGUUUCCGCCCCUUAGUGCUGCAGCUAACGC
rnacentral:rRNA from 1 species